UACGUAGGGGGCUAGCGUUGUCCGGAAUCAUUGGGCGUAAAGCGCGUGUAGGCGGUCCGGUAAGUCCGCUGUGAAAGUCGAGGGCUCAACCCUCGAAUGCCGGUGGAUACUGUCGGGCUAGAGUGCGGAAGAGGCGAGUGGAAUUCCUGGUGUAGCGGUGAAAUGCGCAGAUAUCAGGAGGAACACCAAUGGCGAAGGCAGCUCGCUGGGACGUGACUGACGCUGAGACGCGAAAGCGUGGGGAGCAAACAGG
rnacentral:rRNA from 1 species